rnacentral:tRNA from 3 species
GGGCGCUUAGCUCAGCGGUAGAGCACUUCCUUGACAUGGAAGGGGUCACAGGUUCGAUCCCUGUAGCGCCCACCA